rnacentral:lncRNA from 1 species
GGAGCUUAUUUUAAGUACGAGGGGUUUUAUGCAAACUUUGGAAUUCCUUUUUGCUUCAUAUGUGAAGAUGUGUAUGGCUGUGCAUUCAUUAUGGUGGGAGAUGAUAAAGGUUCACAGUUGCAUUAAAACUAAACACAAUGGAGGCAGCUGCUGUGAGCUAGACUAUUCCAGCUUUAUCCUGAUAUAUGAAAUGGAAAGU